CUACGGGAGGCUCCAGUGGGGAAUAUUGGGCAAUGGGCGCAAGCCUGACCCAGCAACGCCGCGUGAGGGAAGAAGGUUUUCGGAUUGUAAACCUCUGUCCUUGGGGACGAAGAAGUGACGGUACCCAAGGAGGAAGCUCCGGCUAACUACGUGCCAGCAGCCGCGGUAAUACGUAGGGGGCAAGCGUUGUCCGGAAUUACUGGGCGUAAAGGGUGCGUAGGCGGCAUAUUAAGUCAGGUGUGAAAUACUCGGGCUCAACCCGGGGGCUGCAUUUGAAACUGAUAUGCUUGAGUGUGAGAGAGGAAAGUGGAAUUCCUAGUGUAGCGGUGGAAUGCGUAGAUAUUAGGAGGAACACCAGUGGCGAAGGCGACUUUCUGGGUCAUAACUGACGCUGAGGCACGAAAGCGUGGGGAGCAAACAGGAUUAGAUACCCUCGUAGUC
rnacentral:rRNA from 1 species